rnacentral:rRNA from 1 species
UACAGAGGGGGCCAGCGUUAUUCGGAAUUACUGGGCGUAAAGCGUGCGCAGGCGGCUUCGCAAGUCAGACGUGAAAUCCCCGGGCUUAACCUGGGAAUGGCGUUUGAAACUACGGAGCUGGAGUAUGGCAGAGGGGGGUGGAAUUCCACGUGUAGCGGUGAAAUGCGUAGAUAUGUGGAGGAACACCGAUGGCGAAGGCAGCCCCCUGGGCCAAUACUGACGCUCAUGCACGAAAGCGUGGGGAGCAAACAGG